AUGGCGCACGAUCCCAGCCUGGGCUUCGCGGACUACUUCUCGGCGGCCGACGCGGCGGCGGCGUCGCUCAUGCCGCAGAUGGACGAGGGCGCGCCGGAGCUGUACGGCUUGCAGUCCGGGAUGGAGCUGCUCGGCAUGCGCGGCCUGCACGCUGCCGCCAUGUCCGGCGCGACGUCCGUCUCCGCGGAUGUUCACUGCGACGGGGGAGGAGACGGCCACGAUGCCUCCACCAUGCGCUUCUUCCUCGAGCAGCAGCAGCAGCAGCAUCAUCAACAUCACCAGCCGAGCCAGCAGGCGCCGUUGUCCCUGUCGCUGUGCCGGCCGGAGGAAGUCGCGCAGCUGCACCAGCAGCAGCACCAUCACCAUCUCGGCGGCUCGUCUCAGCAGCAGCACGAGGCGUCCGCGGCGUCGUGGAUGCUGCCGCACGAGCACGAGGCGGCGACGUACGCGCACGGGCACGGCGCGGCGUGGCCGCUGCGCAGCUCCCGGUUCCUGCUCCCGGCGCAGCAGCUCCUGCAGGGCUACUGCAGCCUCCCCGUGGACAUCACCCCGAAGCGCGCCAAGCCGCCGCAGCAAGACGAGGCCGGCGGCGGCGAGGCCUCGUCGUCGUCGACGUCGGGCUGGACCCCGUCGGCGCAGAUCCAGGCCAUGGAGGCGCUGGAGCUCAAGCGGCUCAAGGACAGGCUCUACGUCAUGCUGGAGGAGGUGGAUCGGAGGUACAGGAGGUACUGCGAGCAGAUGAGAGGGCUGGCGGGCGGGUUCGAGGCGGUGGCGGGGGAGCGGGCGGCGUCGGGAUACACGGCGGUGGCGGCGCGGACCAUCUCGCGGCACUUCCGGAGCCUUAGGGACGGGAUCGUGGCGCAGCUGCAGGCGGUGCGGAAGGCGCUCGGGGAGAAGGACGUGGCGCCGCCGGGGAUGACACGGGGCGACACGCCGCGGCUCAAGGUGCUGGACCAAUGCAUCCGGCAGCAAAAGGCGAUGCACCAGAACGGCGGCAUGAUGAUGGAUAGCCACCCUUGGCGGCCGCAGCGCGGUCUGCCCGAGCGCGCGGUCACCAUUCUCCGGGCAUGGCUCUUCGAGCACUUCCUCAACCCGUAUCCGAGCGACGUGGACAAGCACAUCCUGGCUCGCCAGACGGGCCUCUCACGGAGCCAGGUGUCCAACUGGUUCAUCAACGCGCGGGUGCGGCUGUGGAAGCCCAUGGUGGAGGAGAUGUACGUGGAGGAGAUGAAGGGCGAGCAGCAGGACGACGGCGGCCUGAUAAACCCUAACAACCCUAGCAGCAGCGGCAGCCACGCCUCCGACGCGCAGGGGCAGCAGGGGGCGGCCGCGGCCGACGAAGGCGAGCGCGUCGGGGGUGCCGACGACCGGAAGCCGACGCGGGCGCAGCUGCAUGUUGGACACGACGCCGGCUCGCUCGCCUCCGUCGUCAACAUCGCCGGCGUUUCCGCGCGAAUGGAGGGCUUCGGCGUCAUGGACGCCGGCCACCACCUCGACUUUGACGCGUACGGUGGGCAGGGCCAGGGAGGAUUCGGGGGCGGCGCGGGCGGCGUGUCGCUCACGCUGGGGCUGCAGCAGCACGACACGCACGGCGGCGGCGGCGGCGUGAACAUCGCGUUCGGCGCGCCGUCGUCCGCGCAGCACGGCGCGGGCGGGUUCCUGUUCCCGGGCGAGCAGAUGGACGGCGUGGGCUUGCAUCCGUCCGGCGGCCACGGCCAGAACAUCCAGUUCGGCAUGGACGGCGCCCCCGAGGCGUCGUCCCACGGCGUGCAGGACCAGCAGCACUACCGGGGGAUGAGCGCCGGCUUUCACCUGCUCCGUGACCUGGCCGGCUGA
rnacentral:rRNA from 1 species